rnacentral:lncRNA from 1 species
CAGGCUUUCUGACUGUAAGUGAAAGAAGCCAAACAUGGAGGGAAUCCCUCUUAUGCCAGGUCUCCAAGCCACCUGGAAUGUUUUGCCAGGUUCCUGUAACUUUGAGGUAACCCCCACAACAGAGAGGAUCCGAUGUCAAGCCUGUCUCAAGAAGUAAUCCCUCUUGGUGGGGAGAAGUGAGUCAAUCAAACUACCAAUGGCCUGUUUCUUCUAUGAUGAAUUAUCUGACAAGUUUCAGGUAGAACAGUAUUUACGGGGAACAUUACACACUGA